rnacentral:rRNA from 1 species
GGACUACCGGGGUUUCUAAUCCUGUUCGCUACCCACGCUUUCGCGCCUCAGCGUCAGUAUCAUGCCAGGUGGCUGCCUUCGCCAUUGACGUUCCUUCCGAUCUCUACGCAUUUCACCGCUACACCGGAAAUUCCGCCACCCUCUCAUGUACUCCAGCCGGACAGUCUGCGAUGCCCUUCCCAGGUUAAGCCCGGGGCUUUCACAUCACUCACGUCCUGCCGCCUACGCGCCCUUUACACCCAGUAAUUCCGAUUAACGCUCGCACCCCCUGUAUUACCGCGGCUGCUGGCAC